UACGUAGGGGGCAAGCGUUGUCCGGAUUUAUUGGGCGUAAAGAGCGUGUAGGCGGCCAAGCAGGUCAGCUGUGAAAACUCGAGGCUCAACCUCGAGACGUCGGUUGAAACCGCUUGGCUAGAGUCCGGAAGAGGAGAGUGGAAUUCCCGGUGUAGCGGUGAAAUGCGCAGAUAUCAGGAGGAACACCAGCGGCGAAGGCGGCGCUCUGGGCCGGAACUGACGCUGAGGAGCGAAAGCGUGGGUAGCAAACAGG
rnacentral:rRNA from 1 species